AUGGAUGCUUCAGUUUGGAUAUGUCCCGUCAUGUGUGCUUCCUGUCUUUUCAUGAUCAAGUUUACCACGUUGUUCGCCUUACCUUUCACAAACUACUCUAGUGCUUGUGCUUCUUAUUGUAUCCUUUUUGUUUUUGUGAGAGAGAGAUGGACGAAGAUAUGCUUGCAAUUGCUGUAUUUUUAUUAUAUUGUGAAAAACUUCUUUCUAUUGUUGUAUCUUUUUAUUAUUUUGUGGAACAUUGAAUGCAAUUGUUGUAUCUUUAUUAUGUUGUGGAAGAAAACUCGCUAUUGCUGUACUUGA
rnacentral:rRNA from 1 species